rnacentral:rRNA from 1 species
GACGAACGCUGGCGGCGUGCUUAACACAUGCAAGUCGAACGAAGUGGCGAACGGGUGAGUAACGCGUAAUCACCCUGCCCUUCAGAGGGGGACAACAGUUGGAAACGACUGCUAAUACCGCAUACUGAAGGAGGGGUUUGCGUCUGAUUCGCUAGUUGGAGGGGUAACGGCCCACCAAGGCGAUGAUCAGUAGCCGGUCUGGGCGGAUGAACGGCACCAGUGGGACGGAGACACGGCCCAGAAUCCUACGGGAGGCAGCAGGAGGGAAGCUGCGGCAAUGGGGGGAACCCUGACCGAGCAACGCCGCGGGAGGGAUGACGGCCUUCGGGUGGUAAAGCUCUGUUAAUCGGGACGCGGUACCGGAAUAGAAAGCCACGGCUAACUACGUGCCAGCAGCCGCGGUAAUAC